GAUGAACGCUGGCGGCGUGCCUAAUACAUGCAAGUCGAGCGAACAGACGAGGAGCUUGCUUCUCUGACGUUAGCGGCGGACGGGUGAGUAACACGUGGAUAACCUACCUAUAAGACUGGGAUAACUUCGGGAAACCGGAGCUAAUACCGGAUAACAUGUUGAACCGCAUGGUUCAACAGUGAAAGACGGUUUUGCUGUCACUUCUAGAUGGAUCCGCGUCGCAUUAGCUAGUUGGUAAGGUAACGGCUUACCAAGGCAACGAUGCGUAGCCGACCUGAGAGGGUGAUCGGCCACACUGGAACUGAGACACGGACCAGACUCCUACGGGAGGCAGCAGUAGGGAAUCUUCCGCAAUGGGCGAAAGCCUGACGGAGCAACGCCGCGUGAGUGAAGAAGGUCUUCGGAUCGUAAAACUCUGUUAUUAGGGAAGAACAAAUGUGUAAGUAACUAUGCACGUCUUGACGGUACCUAAUCAGAAAGCCACGGCUAACUACGUG
rnacentral:rRNA from 1 species